rnacentral:rRNA from 1 species
AUUGAACGCUGGCGGCAGGCUUAACACAUGCAAGUCGAACGAGUGGCGGACGGGUGAGUAAUGCUUGGGAAUCUGGCUUAUGGAGGGGGAUAACGACGGGAAACUGUCGCUAAUACCGCGUACCAUAGGAUGAGCCCAAGUGGGAUUAGGUAGUUGGUGGGGUAAUGGCCUACCAAGCUGACGAUCUCUAGCUGGUCUGAGAGGAUGACCGGGCAUACCGGGACUGAGGGACUGCCCGGACUCCUACGGGAGGCAGAAGUGGGGUAUAUUGCGCAAUGGUCGCAAGCCUGAUGCGGCGACGCCGCGUGGGGGAUGAAGGCUUUCGGGUUGUAAACUUCUUUCGAUAUCGAACGGGUAGGUAGAGAAGAAGCGCCGGCUAACUACGUGCCAGCCGCCGCGGUAAUAC